rnacentral:lncRNA from 1 species
UUUUUUUGUUUCUUUUUUUUUUCUUUUCAGGGCCGCACCAGUGGCUUAUGGAGGUUCCCAGGUGUGGCCCUAAAAAAACAAAAAACAAAAACAGCUGGAGCAGCUUAUAAACAACAGAGAUACACGCCUCACUGUUCUGGAGGCUGGGAACCGCAACAUGAAGGUGCCAGCGGAUCUGGCGUCAGUGAGAACCACGUUCCUGGUUCACAGCUGGCCGUUUUCUCGGUGAGACCGCACAUGGCAGAAGCGGUGUGAUGAGGGCACUAAUGCCAUUGGCGAGGGCGCCACCCUUCGGACCUAAGCAGCUCCCAAAGGUCCCACCUCCUGAGACCAUCACACCGGGGGUUAGCAUUUCAACAUGUGGGUCUGGGGGUGGGGGCACAAGCCGUCUAUAGCAGAGGGUCUACUUCCUUCUGUCCUCACUGACUGCAGUAUGAUUUCAUCAUCACAUGUCCCCAAGACCCCAAGGGACUCCCACACCCUCUGGGUUCAGACUCACUGGUUCCAGACUGACUGGCCAGCACCCACUCCCCUUCCACCAGUUAGCCUUCUGUUAGAAAGAUGCCUCCAGCCCAGAAUUUCCAAAGGAGGCAGAAGAAGGAGGAAAUGAUUCUGCUUUCUCUGAUGAACCCGUAAAGGAUCAUUAAGCACUCAAAAGAAUAAAGUGACACAAAAAUGCCUAAUAAUUGCCAGAGAUUAUUUGUGAGGAAUGGCAGAGAGAAGAGAAAUGGGGGAAACGAAGGAUUUCAAGCCCGCAGUGUGGUUUUGCUCCCCGAGGACCAAAGAAAGACACUUAAAGUUCAGCUCCCUUUGAAGCGAAAGAUUCUGAAGACAGGGGCUGGGAACUGGGGGCGGUGGGGGAGGCUGCUUUCACUGAAGAAGAAAGUAGAUCAAUGUCAUUCCCUAAGGAAAGGGGGGAGGUGCAUGCUGAAUGAGCCCCAGCUCCCAGCCCCUGUUUGAAAAGAGACUUUUAAACAACCAAGUGAGAGUAAAUGUUAACCAGAAAUAUUACAGGACAGGGAUUAAUGUAAUUGUAUUCAAAGACAGCCUAUAAACAGAUAAGAAAAAAAAAUUAACCCCUAGUGGAAAAAUGAGCCAAGAACAGGCAGUUUAUUAAAAGGAAAAAAAAAAAAGGUUAAUAAACAGAAAAAUACAAACCCUCACUAACAUAGACAUGUACAUCAAAAUACCAAUUAGAGGAGUUCCCUUGUGGGGUAGCAGGUUAAGGAUUUAGCAGUUGUCACUGCUGUGACUCUAGUUACAGCUGUGGCACAGGUUCGAUCCCUUCCCCGGGAACUUCCACAUGCAGUGGGCACAACAAAAAAAAAAUAGAUGAAUAAAACUAAAUAACAAUUAGACACAUUUUUUUUCUCUUUUUGGCCAUGCGUGCGACAUGUGGAAGUUCCCGGGCCAAGGAUCAAACCCAUUCCAUAGCAGCUACCAGAGCUGCUGCAGUGGCAACGCUUGAUCCUUAACCCACUGCACCACAAAGGGACUUCCUGACACAAUUCUUUACCCACGAAAUACACAAAGUUGUUUCCUAUUAAGAAAUGUUCAUUAGAACAUGUCAAAAGUUGAGAUGACAUAUUUCCGGAUAAAUUAACAUUUUUCCAACCUUCUUUGAAAUAGUCAUCAAAAGUUGGUUAUCUUGGAGUUGCCAUCAUGGCUCAGUGGAAACGAAUCUGACUAGCAUCCAUGAGGAGGCAGGUUCGAUCCCUGGCCAGGUUCAGUGGGUUAAGGAUCUGGUGUUGCCAUGAGCCAUGGCGCAGGUCACAGACGCGGCUUGGAUCUGGUGUAGGCCAGCGGCUACAGCUCCGAUUCGACCCCCAGCCUGAGAACUUCCAUAUGCCACAGGUGCAGCCCUAAAGGGACAAAAAAACAAAAAAGUUCACAUCCUUGGGCUACAUAAUUCUGAAGCUAGAAAUUUAACCCAGGGAAAUAAUUAAAGAUACAAGAAAAGAUUUAUAUACAGGGAUAGUCAACACGGGAUUAAUUAUAAUGGAGAAGUAUCAGAAGCUUCCCAGACAUGGAACAAGGACAUGGUUAAGAAUAGGCAUAUACGGAGUUCCCAUCGUGGCUCAGUGGUUCACGAAUCCGACUAGGAACCAUGAGGUUGCAGGUUCGAUCCCUGGCCUUGCUCAGUGGGUUAGGGAUCCGGCGUUGCCGUGAGCUGUGGUGUAGGUCGCAGACGCAGCUUGGAUCCCACAUUGCUGUGGCUCUGGUGUAGGCCGGCAGCUGCAGCUCCAAUUAGACCCCUAGCCUGGGAACCUCCACAUGCCGCAGGAGCGGCCCUAGAAACAGAAAAAAGACCAAAAAAAAAAAGAAUAGGCAGAUAAUGUACAUAUAAUGUACACAUAACAGUAGGUUCAUAUAAUGAAAUGCCAGCCUGCCCAACAAGUCACAUUUCCAAAAACAUGUAAUGGGAUGAAGAACUGUUCACAAUAAAAUGCUAAAUGAAAAUACAAGACACAAAACUGAAUAUGUAAUAAUACCCGUAGGUCAAAAUACGUAAUUUUGGAAUAUAUAAAUAUGAACAUAGAAAAGAACAUGGAAGGAAAUAUAUCAGACUGUUAGCAGUGAGAGUGUAAUCAAGAAAAUAACAUUUUUUUAAGCUAAAAGGCCUUUGGCUAAGACUUGGGAUCCUAUAGGAACGAUUAGGCUGAAAUCAAAUUUCCUUUCAAAUGUUCAGAUACCAGGCUUGGAACUCUACUCUCUUUGAACACCACCAUAUAAAAAGAAAAAAACAUAAUUAGUUACUCAUUCCACAAACACAGAGCACUUUUAUGUUCAACAUUAUAACAGGUUUUCAGGAUAUAGAGAAAGCCUGGACCCCAAUCCCAAAGACCUUGUUUAUUACUGUCAGUUGCUGGGGGUGGGGUCUAUACACUAAGAAUUACGGUUAAAUUCAAGUAGACUACAAAAUCAGGUGACAUUGCUUCGAAGGGAGGGGAGAAGGCUAUGUGACUGAAUCUUGAAAUGUCCAGAGAAGUCAGCCAGAUAGACACCAAGAAGGCAGGAAAUUCCAGGAAGAGGGAACUGUAGGCGUGCAGAAGGUGAAAUAACAGCCCCCAAAGAUGUCCAUGUCGGAGGAACUUUGUAGAUGAGAUUAAGGUUAAGGACUUUGCGAUGGCGAGGCUGGCCUAGAUUAUCCAGGUGAGCCCAGUCUAAUCAUAUGGGUCCUUUAAAAUCAGAGAAUCUUUCCUGGCUCUGGCCAGAGGGACAGGUGACCACUCAAGAAUGAUCAAAGAGACGCAACGUUGCCAGCUCUGAAGGUGGACGAAGAAGGCCAGGGAACGCAACAGCCUCCAGAAGUUAGCAAAAAUGAAGAAAGGGAUUCUGCCCGAGAGCCAGAGGAAAGCAGCCUUGCCGGCACUGUGAUGUUAGCUCAGGGAGACAUGUUUCAAACUUCGAGCUCAGGGAGAAAUGGAACAUAAUAAUUUCAUGUUGUUUCAAGCCACCAAAUUUGUAGUAAUUCAGUACAGCAACAACAGAAAACUAAUACACCGGGCAAAAGCCGUGGAGAUGUAAGACAGAAAUGCACACGGGAGGAACUGCGAUGAGAUCCGUGUGGCCUGCGUCAUAUUUACCAACCACCUGCCAAACAUCAGUUCCUGUCUUCUGCUUUGUGCAAGAUCCAGCGUCCACUCUUUGGGGGCUCACAGACCAGUAGAAGACACAGCCCAGUGAUAGAAAAGUGACAAAGGGCUCAAAGAAGGGUAAGACCAGUGUGCCUGGGAGACUGGGUCAUGACUCCACUGAGAAGGGGACUGUCAGGUUGGUUGGAUCUGGAAGAGUGAGUGGCCACUGGUCUGGGAGAAGGGCCCUCCAGGCUGCAGAACAACAUGAGCUGAAACACUGGAAAGACCGUAGCAUCUUUGGGAAAAGCCAAGUUGUCCAGGAUUACCAGCGCCUGGGAAGAGCUAAAACACUGGGAACUCAAGCUGGACAGGAAUGACCACCUUGUGAAGGGCCUUGAAUGUUGAGUGAAACAAACUCUACCCUGUAGGGAACAGCACGGGGCAUCUGAUUCUUGGCAAAGAAUGAGCAUUUUCUCUUCUGCAUUCCUGAUGCACUGAUAUUUUCUAGAGGCAAGAGGACUUCCAGGUCUGAGGAGGCAGAACCCAUUCAGACCAUACUGAGCCAGGAGGCUGGGAGGCUGAGCCAGGAGGCUGGGAGGCCAAGCCAUGGAGGAAACCAGCUUGGGACUGGCUGGCCCAGUUGGCAUCAGCUCUGGCCACAUCUGCCUCCAGGUCUCCAGAAAGCACUUCCUCUCCUUGGAGCAUCCCCCAAAAAGCAGCGGAGAGGGAUUGAAGCCCACCAACCUGCGGCAGCCUCCUUCUGCCCUGGCCUCCAGGCCAGCCUCAGCUCCAUCAGGAGGAAGAAGUUUACCUCCAUGCCUCCCCCGACACACUCUAAACUCCUCUUUAUUGAGCCUUCCUCAUCUCUCCUGAGGUCCCCACUGUACACUCCAGCCUCUCCCUUGACAAGCAUGGGGGUGGGAGGGCGAGGAGACACAUUAAGGGAAUCGUCUGGAGGCAAGGAAGGCCUGAAGCACAUCAAUCAUGAACUUGGUCCUCUUGGUCUUUAGCUCCAGAUUUUCCCACAGACCUCGUUCAGGAGCACCUCCUCCAAGAAGCCCUCCCAGACCUGGCCAAGCAGACCCAACCCUCAUCUCCCUGUAUCUGUUCACCUAGGGUUCUCCGGAGACAGGCACAGACACUGUGCCUCACACACAGGAAUUCUAGAAAGCGUUCACAGAACACGUGAACGGAUGACAAAGGAGUAAGUGAACAGAACUCAGAUAUGAGAUGUAAAUAGUCUCGGAGAGGAGGCAGAAGCCCAUCAUUGAGACAAAAUAGACAAAAUAAAAAAGUAUCUCAAAUACAUAGAGAACAGACUUGUGGUUGCCGAGGAGGAAGUGGAGGAGGGAGUGGGAUGGACUGCGAGUUUGGGGUUGGUAGAUGCAAACUAUUCCAUUUCGAAUGGAUAAGCAAUGCGGUCCUACUGUGCAGCACAGGGAACUAUAUCCAAUCGCUUGUGACAGAACAUGAUAGAAAACGAAUGUGAUAAAUAUAUAUGUAUAUAUGACUGGGUCACUUUACUGUACAGCAGAAGUUGACAGACAUUUUUUUUAAGUUUCAUUGAAGUCUAGUUGAUUUAUAAGGUAGUGAGAAUUUCUGCUGCACAACUAAGUGAUUCAGUUAGACAUGGACACACAUCAUUCUCUUUCAGAUUCUUUCCCCACAUAGAUGAUCGCAGAGUACUGGGUAGAGCUCUCCGUGCUGUACAGCAGGUCUCCGAUGGCCAAUCGUUCCAUAUACCUCAGUGCGCAUGUGCCAAUCCCCAACCCCCGGCCCUUCCCCCGACCCCACCCCCGACCUGUCCCCUUUGGUAACCGUAAGUUUUUCAAGGUCUUUGAGUCUGUUUCUGUUCUGAUAUGGAAUCUAAAAAAAUAAAACAAUAAAAAUAAAAUUUUAAAGUAGCUCGAAUAGCAGCAAUGGACAUAGUUCUAGCAUUAAAUUCGGGCUACCGAAAGCUCCAAUUCCCAGGGGAAGAUUGGCCCGGAAGCCCAGGGCAGGCCCGAGCUUUGGGGUCAAGGAGGUGGGCCGGCGGGGGACGAUGGAGGUGGGCAGGGAGCAGGUGGGUGCUGCUCCUGAAGGCUUCUUCGGGCCAGAGGCCAGGCUCCGGCUUCCUGCAUGUCCAGAGCGCAGGCAGAAUCAGUAGUUUCGACCACCGCCUGGACACCCCCUGGAACGCCCCUGAGCACUUUGGUGAAAGGUGACUCCUUCCUCCUUCCUUUUGGGCCCAUGAGACUAAUCAUAAAAUAUGCUCUGCUUCUGAGUCCAUAGAAGAGAGUGCCUUCCACAUCCAUUAAGUUGCUAACGCGCGCCUUCGCAGGCCAGAAAGAAAGGUGCGGGAUUGAUGGAUGUACUUGUCAUAUUUAUGGUUUGUAGCCAUGUGAUUAAUGGGCUUUGUGGUUUAUAAGGCAAUGCUCAUUUCACUCUCCUCUUUAAGCUCCAGGUGAUUUAUAGGACCCGGCAUUACUGUUGCAUUUCAAUAGGGUGAUAGUGAUAACAUUUUAUCACCCUGGAUUAUCAAUUAGUCUCCUUUGAGAAAAGGAUGUCCCGGGAUUCAGUACGGGAACAGGAUGGGGAGAGAGAGGAUGCUCCUUGCGAGUAGUGGUGUCCGGCCACCCAGAGAUCAUGGCCUGUCUCCCCGAGGGCCCCGUCCCGAUGCAUCUCUAAGAGGGGAGGCUGCAGGUAUGUGGAGGCAGAACAGGACCUGCGACCUUCCACCCAGGGCCUCCUCUCACCCCUCACCAGGCUGUGUCACAGCUCCUCCAGGGUCUCCUUACGUCCUUCCUACCC